AUGUCUGGAAGUGUACUUUCUGACGUGCCUGGCGAUCAUGAAUUGAGACACAUCCCUGCUGAAAAAGCAGAGCUUCAGAAGUUUUUGCAAGUACCUCAAAGUGGAUCUUCUGAGUUGGCUGACAGCACUGAGUCAAGGUCACUGUCUUUUGAAACAGAAGUUCAGAGACCUUUUUUAGCACCUGAAACUGUUCAGUGCUCUGAGUUCCCUGAUGCCCGUGAGUCAACCUCCUUGCCAGUCGCAAAGGACCAGAUGCGGGAGCCUUCUCUGGCUUCUGAUAAUGGGUCUUUGGAGACUCCUCACAGACGUGAAUCAGCAUCCAGCUUUGCUGCACAACCUGAGGAACUUCCAUUGACGUCUGAAGGUGGGUCCUUUGAGGCACCUGAUGGAAGAGUAAAGGCUUCAGAUGCUUCCCUGACAUCCGAGUGUGGUCCUGCUGAGAUCACAGCUGACUGCAUUUCAACUUCAUCUUCUGCAAAAAUGCGGGAAGUUGUCUUGACAACUGUAGGACAAAGCUGCCAGUCUUCUGAAGCUUGUGAGUCCAGUUCAUUUGCUGAAAAAAUUUUAGAUGGUCCAGCAUCUUCACAAGUACUUGGAGUUGGCUGUUUUGGGUCUUCUGAAGUAAGUGAAUCACGAUACCUGUCUGCUGGAAAAUCUGAGGUUACAGAAUCAUUGGUGAUGUCUAAAAGUGAAAUUGCUGUGUGCCAUGAUGGCCAUGAGUCAAAAUACAGUUACUUUGAGAAAACAGAAGGUUCAGAACUAUCAGCGGCUCCUGAACGUGGGUGUUUUAUUUCCCCUGAAGGCUGUGAACUGACAUCCACUGCAGCUGAAAGACUGGAGACGCAGAAGCCUUCUUUUCCACUGGAAAGUGGAUUCGUAAAGUCCACUGAUGCUUUGGGGUCAGUAAGCACACCUACUGAAAAACUGGAGGCCACAGUGCCUUCUCAUACAUCCGAAGGUGGGCUUUUCACAUUGCCCGAUAGUCAUGACUUGAGAGCUGCCCAAACCGAAGAAGCAGAAGCACGGAAGUCAUCUUUGUCCUCUGAAUUGAGGUACAUUGCAUCCUCUGAUGGACACACGUUGAGGUCUGCCUCUGAUAAAGAAACCCAGGUGCAGGAGCCAUCUCUGAUACUGGAAAGUAGAUACUCUGUUUCCUCUGGUGUUCAUGAGUUGACACACACCCCUUUCAAGAAAGCUGAGGUAGAGGAUGCUUCACAGAUACCUGGAAUUGAAUACAGAGUGGGCCUGCAUGGCCCAGAGUUGACAUCAACCCCUACUGAAAAAACAGAGGUGCGGGAACUGUAUCUGGCUAAAGAAAGAUGUUCAGUGUCUGUGGAGAGCCAGGAAUUGCUGUUGCACGCUUCUGAAAAGACUGAAGUGCAAGAGCCUGCUCUGACACGUGAAAAUGAAUGUGCUGUAUCCUGGGACCACCAGGAACUGAGGUCUAGCUCUCCUGAGAAGGUGGAGGUCCAGGAGCCUUCUGCAGUACCUGACAAUCAAUAUGCUUUGUACUCUGAAGAUCAGCAAUUGCAGUCUUCCCUUGCUGAAAAAGCAGUGGUGCAGAAGCAUUCUCUGCUGUCUGAUAAUGAAUAUGCUCUGUCCCCUGAGCACCAUGAGAUGGCUGCCAGCCCUGCUGAAAAAGAGCUGCAAGAACCUUCUCUGACAUCUGACAGUGAAUAUCCCACGUUCCCUGAAGGCCAGGGGGUACAGUCUACCCUUGCUGAAAAAGCAGUGGUGCAGGAGGCUUCCCUAAUACCAGGUAGUGAAUAUGUUGCAUCCCCCGAAAGGCAGGAGUUGUCAUCUGCUAUUGAAAAAACAGAAAUGCAGGAUUGUUCUGUGCUGUCUGAAAAUGAAUACGACGUAUCUCCUGAAGGCCGUGAUUCAAGAUCCAGCCAUGUUGAAAAAGAAGAAAUGGGGGAACACUCUGAAACAUCUGAAAGUGAAAGUUCAAUGUCCUCUGAUAGCCAGGAGUUGCAAUCUACUGUUGUUGGAAAAACAGAGGUGCAGGAGUUGUCUCUGUCUGAAGGUGAAUGUACCAUGUCUCCUGAAGCUCAGGAGCCGCAUUCCAGUCCUGAAAAAGCAGAGGAUAAAGAACUUUCUCUGACGUAUGAAAAUGAUCAUGCUCUGUUCCCUGAAAGAUAUGAACAAAGAUUGACUCAGGCUGAGAAAACAGAGGAUAGGGAUUCUUCUUUGACAUCUGAAAAUGACCAUACGUUGUCUUUUGAGAGCCAGGAGGUAAGAUUCACCUCUGUUCAAAAAGAAGAGGUGCAGGACUUUUCUCUAACACCUGAAAGAGAACACGCAGCAUCCCCUGAUGGCCAGAGGCUGAGAUCCCUCACCGCUGAGAAAGCGGACGGACUUGAACCUUCAAUGUUAAAUGACAGAGCUUCCAUGUCCCCAGAUGUUAGUGACUUGAAAUCCGUUCCCGUUGGAAAGAUGGAUGAUGAAAUGCCUAUACUGCCUGAAAGAGGACGCUCCAUGUCCCCUGAUGGCUGCAGUGUGAAAUCUGUGCCUGGUGAAGAAACAGGGGAUCUUGAGCCCUCCUCAACAUCUGAAUGUAGACGUUCCGCAUCUCCAUAUCAUGACAGCCAUGAGCCGAAGUCUCCCAUGGAGGAAGAGGCUCUAGAGUCCUCUUUGACUUUUGAACAUAGGAGAUCUGUGUCCCCCGAGGGCCACGACCAGAAAUCCCUCAUAGAUGAGGAAAUGGAAGAUCGAGAGGCCUCUUUGACACCUGAACGUAGGCGCUCCACAUCCCCUGAUGAGCAUGAGUCAAGGUCUAGCGGUGGUGAAGAAGCGGAGUAUUCGGAACAACCACUGACAACAGAACGCAGAUCCUCUGUGUCUUCUGAUGAGCAUGAGUCAAGGUCUACAGCUGGGGAAGAAGCAGAGGACGUGGAACCCUCCUUGACAGGUGAACGAAGAGAUUCCACGUCUUCUGAUGAGCGUGAGUCGAGGUCCACCACAGCUGAAGAAGGAGAAGAUCGGGAGACCUCCUUGACAGCUGAAGCGUAG
rnacentral:lncRNA from 1 species